UUUGAUUUGAUCAAACAAAUGAAAUAAUUUUUUUUCUCUGUGUGUGUGUAGGUGUCAUUAGUGUAGGUGUUUAACAGUUCAUCAACACUAUUGUUGUCAUUUGUUUUAUUUUAUAUAAUGGAUUAACGAAUUAAAAUGUGUGUUUACCAGCUGAAUUUUGAACAUUUUGUUGAUUGAGUUGAAAAAAAACUGAAAACAAACAAACAAACAAACAGAUUUAUGGCUAUAAAAAUCAAUCAAUCCCAACAUUUUGGACAAUUGGUCAAAAAAGUGAUUGUUUCAUUUCAUUAAUGAUGACCUAUGAAACUGUAUGGAUGGACCAAAAAUGAAAAUUAAUCGAAAACGGCAAUGGCAACGCCAAUCACAUACGCAUAUAUAUAAACAUUUAAAUAGAUCCCUCUGUGUGUUACCAUCAAAAUGAUAUAUGUUGAACAUCCAUCGAGAGACAAUUUUUUUUUAUUCUCACUUCUCUCAUAUCACAUCGAAAAUGUGUGUAAAUAACGACUUUUUUUUCUGUGCAUUUCUCAUUCUAGGCAUUGCUCUAGAUUGAUUUUGUGUACGUGUGUGUGUUUUGUAUUUGGAUUUUGUUGGCGGCAGACAUUAAAUAAAAAAUGAAUAAAUGAAUGGCAAAAAAAAAUUGUCAACCUAAGCAAAAACAAAAACAAAAAUUCAUCGUCAAUUUUUUUUUUGUGUGUGCUUGUCAAAAAACAAAACAAAAAAAAACUUGCAAAUGAGAAACACAUUUGGAAUUCUGUGAAAAAAUAAAAACAUUAAACUAAAAAAAAA